rnacentral:rRNA from 1 species
GUGCCAACGCCCGGGGUAAUGCGUAGGGGGCAAGCGUUAUCCGGAAUUAUUGGGCGUAAAGCGCGCGCAGGCGGUCCUUUAAGUCUGAUGUGAAAGCCCACGGCUCAACCGUGGAGGGUCAUUGGAAACUGGGGGACUUGAGUGCAGAAGAGGAGAGCGGAAUUCCACGUGUAGCGGUGAAAUGCGUAGAGAUGUGGAGGAACACCAGUGGCGAAGGCGGCUCUCUGGUCUGUAACUGACGCUGAGGCGCGAAAGCGUGGGGAGCGAACAGGAUUAGAUACCCUGGUAGUCC